AGAGCGGCGAACGGGUGAGUAACGCGUGGGUGAUCUACCUUCGAGUGGGGAAUAACACCGGGAAACUGGUGCUAAUACCGCAUGACAUCCUCGGUUCGUUCCGGGGAUCAAAGUGGGGACCGUAAGGCCUGGCGCUUGAAGAGGAGCCCGCGUCCGAUUAGCUUGUUGGCGGGGUAAUGGCCCACCAAGGCUUCUAUCGGUAGCCGGCCUGAGAGGGCGGACGGCCACACUGGGACUGAGACACGGCCCAGACUCCUACGGGAGGCAGCAGUGGGGAAUUUUCCGCAAUGGGGGAAACCCUGACGGAGCAACGCCGCGUGGAGGAUGAAGGCCCUCGGGUCGUAAACUCCUGUCGAUCGGGAAGAAUGCGUCCGACCCAAUACGUCGGGCGUUGACUGUACCGGUGAGAAGCCACGCUAACU
rnacentral:rRNA from 1 species